UACGUAGGGUGCGAGCGUUAAUCGGGAUUACUGGGCGUAAAGUGUGCGCAGGUGGCCGCGCAAGUCGAGUGUGAAAUCCCCGGGCUUAACCUGGGAACUGCACUUGUGACUGCACAGCUGGAGUACGGCAGAGGGGGAUGGAAUUCCGCGUGUAGCAGUGAAAUGCGUAGAUAUGCGGAGGAACACCGAUGGCGAAGGCAGUCCCCUGGGCCUGUACUGACGCUCAUGCACGAAAGCGUGGGGAGCAAACAGG
rnacentral:rRNA from 1 species